GACGAACGCUGGCGGCGUGCUUAACACAUGCAAGUCGAACGAUGAAGCCGGAGCUUGCUCUGGUGAAUUAGUGGCGAACGGGUGAGUAACACGUGAGUAACCUGCCCUUGACUCUGGGAUAACUGCGGGAAACUGUAGCUAAUACCGGAUACGACCCUCGGAGGCAUCUCCUGGGGGUGGAAAGAAUUUCGGUCAAGGAUGGACUCGCGGCCUAUCAGCUAGUUGGUGAGGUAAAGGCUGACCAAGGCGACGACGGGUAGCCGGCCUGAGAGGGUGACCGGCCACACUGGGACUGAGACACGGCCCAGACUCCUACGGGAGGCAGCAGUGGCGAAGAUUGCACAAUGGGCGCAAGCCUGAUGCAGCAACGCCGCGUGAGGGAUGACGGCCUUCGGGUUGUAAACCUCUUUUAGCAGGGAAGAAGCGAAAGUGACGGUACCUGCAGAAAAAGCACCGGCUAACUACGUGCCAGCCGCCGCCGUAA
rnacentral:rRNA from 1 species